GGCAACCAAGGGGCAGAGGGCGCGGAAAGACGUUGGCGAGCUGGGUUGUUCUGGGGUACUGGGGUGAAAGAGGGCGUAGGCGGGUGGGCAAGUUGGGUGUGAAAGCUCCCGGCUUAACUGGGAGGGGGCGGCGAAGACUGGUGGGCUGGAGUAUGGGAGAGGCAGGCGGAAUUCCUGGUGUAGCGGUGAAAUGCGUAGAUAUCAGGAGGAACACCGGUGGUGUAGGCGGCUUGCUGGACCAUAACUGACGCUGAGGCACGAAAGCGUGGGGAGCAAACAGGAUUAGAUACCCUGGUAGUC
rnacentral:rRNA from 1 species